AGAGCGAACGCUGGCGGCAGGCUUAACACAUGCAAGUCGAGCGGGCGUAGCAAUACGUCAGCGGCAGACGGGUGAGUAACGCGUGGGAACGUACCUUUUGGUUCGGAACAACCCAGGGAAACUUGGGCUAAUACCGGAUAAGCCCUUACGGGGAAAGAUUUAUCGCCGAAAGAUCGGCCCGCGUCUGAUUAGCUAGUUGGUGAGGUAAUGGCUCACCAAGGCGACGAUCAGUAGCUGGUCUGAGAGGACGAUCAGCCACACUGGGACUGAGACACGGCCCAGACUCCUACGGGAGGCAGCAGUGGGGAAUCUUGCGCAAUGGGCGAAAGCCUGACGCAGCAACGCCGCGUGGAGGACGAAGGCUUUCUGAGUUGUAAACUCCUUUCAGCAGGGACGAUUGUGACGGUACCUGCAGAAGAAGCACCGGCCAACUACGUGCCAGCAGCCGC
rnacentral:rRNA from 1 species